GCAUCAUGGAAAUAAACCAAACCCAUUGUUUGAAUAAUAUUUGGCUUUUCUCUGUGAGCCUCUUUUCACAGCUUACUGGCUUGCUCAGUGGUUUCUUCCAGAGAAUUCAUGGAAGAAUAGCAAAAGGGAUGUCUGCCUCUGAAAUCUCUACAUCCUUUUCUUCAUUUGUCGAAAAGAAAUUGCUCUCUAUUUCCCUCCACAGCUGUUGAAGUCCUAAAGUGAAUAGCGACAAUCUAAAAAGCUGGAGAGAGGAAACUUAAUAAAAGAC
rnacentral:lncRNA from 1 species